rnacentral:tRNA from 1 species
GCUGGAAUAGCUCAGGCGGUAGAGCGGUUCACUCGUAAUGAACAGGUCGUGAGUUCGAGUCUCACUUUCAGCUCCA